rnacentral:tRNA from 9 species
CGGGCUGUGGCGCAGCUUGGUAGCGCGCGUCGUUCGGGACGACGAGGCCGCAGGUUCAAAUCCUGUCAGCCCGACCA